rnacentral:tRNA from 2 species
GGACGCAUAGCUCAGUUGGUUAGAGUACUACGUUGACAUCGUAGGGGUCACUGGUUCGAGUCCAGUUGCGUCCA